rnacentral:rRNA from 1 species
GAUGAACGCUGGCGGCGUGCCUAAUACAUGCAAGUAGAACGCUGAAGGAGGAGCUUGCUCUUCUGGAUGAGUUGCGAACGGGUGAGUAACGCGUAGGUAACCUGCCUGGUAGCGGGGGAUAACUAUUGGAAACGAUAGCUAAUACCGCAUGACAACAGUUAUUGCAUGAUAACUGUUUGAAAGGGGCAACUGCUCCACUACCAGAUGGACCUGCGUUGUAUUAGCUAGUUGGUGAGGUAACGGCUCACCAAGGCGACGAUACAUAGCCGACCUGAGAGGGGGAUCGGCCACACUGGGACUGAGACACGGCCCAGACUCCUACGGGAGGCAGCAGUAGGGAAUCUUCGGCAAUGGACGGAAGUCUGACCGAGCAACGCCGCGUGAGUGAAGAAGGUUUUCGGAUCGUAAAGCUCUGUUGUAAGAGAAGAACGAGUGUGAGAGUGGAAAGUUCACACUGUGACGGUAUCUUACCAGAAAGGGACGGCUAACUACGUG